UACGUAGGGUGCAAGCGUUAAUCGGAAUUACUGGGCGUAAAGCGUGCGCAGGCGGCUUUGCAAGACAGAUGUGAAAUCCCGGGGCUCAACCUGGGAACUGCAUUUGUGACUGCAUGGCUAGAGUACGGUAGAGGGGGAUGGAAUUCCGCGUGUAGCAGUGAAAUGCGUAGAUAUGCGGAGGAACACCGAUGGCGAAGGCAAUCCCCUGGACCUGUACUGACGCUCAUGCACGAAAGCGUGGGGAGCAAACAGG
rnacentral:rRNA from 1 species